AAGAAAAAAGAAAAGUUAAUUCAUGAAAAGGUUUAUGGUCAACAUUACCUUAUUCUGUGGCCCAUGAAAUAAUGUUAAGAAUACCCAACCUGUCACUGUCUCUAUGUCGUGAGGCCUCACAACUGUCAGAUUUUAUCCCCACUUUAUUCAUGAGAAAACCAAGGUUCAGAGAGUUUAAGUCUCUUAAAAGUGACAAGUAUAAUGGGUUCAAGUACUUAUUAAAUGUCAUCCUUCAUAUACUUUCCCUUUUGGCUCAGAGGCAUAGAAUUUCAUUGUUCUUAUUCAUUAAAAAUCUUCUUGUUAUUUUGUUGUGUAAUCUUAUAAAACUCUUUACACAUUCAUCCCUCCCCUUAAUGGUUAAUAUUAUAUUUAAAGCAUUUUUUCCCAUGAUAGCUAUGGUUCAGGAAAACUGUACAAUAUUCACAUAACAAACCGAAGUGUUAUUUUAGUAGGGCAAGAAGGCUCUGUUAAAUAAAGGCAGCAAAAAGUGAACAGAUGAUUAAAUCAGUGUGCUGACAUUGUGAUUUUUGUUCUUGUUUCAUAGAGGCAUGGUUCAUAGGGCAUUCUUGCAGGAAAACAUCUCUGCUAGCUCAAAAUGUAAGAGUUGAGUCUCAUCAAAUAAAAAUAUGAGAACUGUUGAAACUGUAUUAAUAUAUACUUCUCAUUUGAGGUAAAUCCUCUUAAUCCCAGAUUCCUCACUAUGGUCUAGAAAAUCAUAGUUCUGAAGCCUUAGGCUUUUGCUACCUCUAAGCUAUGGUAGAAAUCUAACCUAAAAGAUCCUGUUGAGAAAAAUAUUGAGUUUUAUGGACUCCCUAAUGCUUGACACAGUAAAUAAAUAAAUAAAUAAAUAAAUAAAUAAAUAAAUAAAUGCUCUAGAAAAAUGUAUAGAGAGCAAUUUGCAGAAAAGUUGUCAACACUGAUGAGGGUGGUUAGGCUUGCCUCUUCAAAGAGAUGACUUUUAAACAAAGUUCUAAAUGAAGAGAAAGAGAUACCCCAAAUAACACCUAACAGGGAGGUUUUCUAGGCCUACGAUCAUUAAGUCACAGCAGAAACUCAAAAAAGGGAGUGAGCAUUGGGUGUUUGAGGAAUAAAAAGAAUGUGUUUGUAGAUGAAGCCAAGCAAAUAAGAAGAAGAAUUCAAAGAGAUAAAGUCCUAAUGGAUGAAGCCAAAUCCUGUAGGACCUUGCAAGACGUUAUAAGGAAUUUUGUUUUUAAUCUAAUUACUAUGCAAGCCAUUGGAAGAAAAUGAUAUAAUUUGAUGUCAAUUUGGAGACAUUAUUCUGACUGCAAAUGAACUAUUUUAGCUAAGAGUAGAAACAAAGAGACCAGCUAGAAGGUUCACAUGCAGUCCAGGGAAAGAUUGGAGGAAGUUAUCAGUGAGAGACUGCUAGAUUUGGCAUAUAUUUUGCAGCUAAUGAACAAGAAGUUGAGUAUAAGAACUUGAGAGGAAUCAAGUAUCAACCCCAAGGUUGAGCCAGAGCUACUCAGUUGAUGGUGAUGCCAUUUGUUUACCUGGAAAAGAGUGACAGGAGAAGACAUUUACUGUGUAAAGCAUGGGUUGUACCUUAUCAAUCCACUUUAAUAUCACUACCCUGAAUUCAAUUGCUUCCUUGUAAAUAUUUAUUGAUAUUCCUUACUAACACAUCACUGGUGUAUACAAAAUACAAAUAUAUAUUAGAUGUGUCCAUCAUAUAGAGUAUAAAGCAGUAACAGAGUAAACAGCAAAUUCAUAUUUUGAUAAUAUUGAUAACAUUUGCGAGACAUAUCCAGAUUCAAAAUGACCUGAAAAUAAAAUAUAAUCUCAUUUAAAGACUCGAAAUAAACUUUAAUGACUGUAUCAAUUAGAAAAUAGUUUACUGAUGACAGAAAAAUAGGGGAGGAUUAAUUCUUAGUUUUUAAAAACGGAGAAAGUUUGCCUAAAGCACAAAAUAACAAUGUUAAUGAUAUUGGAUAGAAUCUCUUAAUUUAUAAAAAGUAAAAAAAGAAAGGGUAAAAUGAUCAGAUGUAUGUAUAAAGACUUGAGGUAGAAGAAUAGACAUGUUAGAAAAAAGUAUAACAAACACAAGAGUAGAAAUAAUUCAGGAGCUUUAAAGCUGUGAAAUUUUAAAAAAUACAUCCCAGAUUCUCUGUCACGAUAUAUUAUAAAAGUGAGUGUCCUUUAUUUACAAAUUUACAAAUUUAGUAAAUUUGUAAUGCCAUCACAAAUCUUACGAUUAUGGAAGUUUCUGCUCUUGUAAAACAAAAACAAUCAGUGAGAGUCAAAAUGGGAAGUUAACUGAGUAGUUCUAAAAAGGGAAGAGUUCUGGAAGUAAUAAAUAAAUCUUAAAGCACUGAAGAAAGGAGUAUCGAUGCAUUAAAUAAGAUGUGUAUGGAAAACUGGAAAUAGCCAAGAGUGGCACACAAUUGUAAACAUCCACCCUGCAAAGAAAGGAUAGCUGAAUGAUUGAUCAAAUUACCAGGUCUAUUUCUCAUGUAUGCUUUGAUCAUCCACAGAAAAAAAGAAAGAAAAGAAAACAAAAAGAGAGAGAAGAGGAUAGAAUUAGAAUUGGCACCAACAUGUGGUAGAAUGAGUUCAACUGACUUGAAUUGAGCCGCUUUGAAUUGAACUGCAUUGAAUACAAUUGAAUUGAGGGAUUUGUACUAAUUGUGAAUAGCUGGCUGUGUGGGGGAGUGGCUGGGUGACUAGCCAGGAGCUUUAUACUAAAGCCAACUAUGCGAGAUCGCUGCAGAGUAAGUGGAAAAAUAAAAUGAGGUUUCUCUCGUAACGAGAAUUGUAUAUUAUGACAAUAAAGUAUAAUCGUCAGACUAGAAGAAGAAAAAGCUAUUUAGAGAGAAGGGAAAAAAAGUUGAUACAAACAGAUUCCAUAAAUCAAAGAAAACGAGGACAGAAAAGACAUAUAGGGAUGAGAACUGUUGAAACAGAAAUCGAUUGAAAGAUUUAACAUAUUAUUUAUUAUUAGAUUUCACUAUUUUCUAAUUCAUGGAUAUUACCAUCUCUAAGUCAAAAGGGCUAUUUUUUCUUACAGCAGUUGAAUGCGACACACAAAUCCUCAUUCUCAAAUGAGAUGAAUCACUAAGAAAGGAAUUGUCCAUUGAUAGCUCUUGAGCAAUGGCCGAGCACCUCUGAGUGAUCACAUUGAAGCUGACAAUGUCCCAUGUGCUUUCUUUAUAGCUUCACAUUCACUAUUGUUAUCAAACCAAACUGGGGUCUGCAAGCCCAGCCCAGGAAGAGCAGAUAUUCAUACCAAGGUUUGCAGUGGGAAAAGGAAGGUGUUUAACUGCAAGGCAUCAAGCUGGGGAAAUUGGCCAGCUCAUGCUUAAGAUUUGAGCUCCCAGAUGGCUUACAGUUGGCUGACUACGGAUGUUGGAUGCCAGCUCUCCUCAGAAAGAUCAAAGUUACAGGUGAAUGGCCAUGAUUUAAACGGAAAUCUGAGGGAAUGGAGCAAGGACCUGUUGGAACAUCCAUGGGAACAACCUGGGGCACAAAAGAGGAAAGCAACAAGAGACUGGCAAAGAUCGUCUCCCUAGAAACCUGGACCAUGAAAAGGGACUGCUUUCUCUCUAAUCACUUGUCUUAUUAGUUGGUCAUUGACUGUGAAAAAAGAAAGCCUUCCAGUUUUAUGAGAUAGAACUUAAAUGGUCCUUUGGAGAUUGUGAACUUCACAUCCUCAGAGAAAAUGUCAUGAAAAUUGAAGUCCUCAUGGCUUCUGCAUUCUCGCACACAUGGGAAGAGUUGGUGGUGAAGAAGAAACCGG